UACGUAGGGUCCGAGCGUUGUCCGGAAUUACUGGGCGUAAAGAGCUCGUAGGUGGUUUGUCGCGUUGUUCGUGAAAACUCACAGCUUAACUGUGGGCGUGCGGGCGAUACGGGCAGACUUGAGUACUGCAGGGGAGACUGGAAUUCCUGGUGUAGCGGUGGAAUGCGCAGAUAUCAGGAGGAACACCGAUGGCGAAGGCAGAUCUCUGGGCCGUAACUGACGCUGAGGAGCGAAAGCAUGGGGAGCGAACAGG
rnacentral:rRNA from 1 species